rnacentral:lncRNA from 1 species
GGGUAUAUAAUCCCGGCAGAUUUUGACGAAAGGGAAGUCUCCAGAGUUCUGUCUCCGCAGAUAGUUCUUUCCGAGAGAGGAUCAACCGAGAAGCUCCUGCCGAAUUCGACCCCGGGAAGGCAAGAGCUGACCAGCUAGGAUUUAGCACAUCAACCCAGCGCGCAAGGAAUACUCGCGUCGCCCGCACCCCUCGACCACCAAGGCAGUCGACACUGCGGCCGAGGACAAAAAACGAGCGCGACAUGCCGCGACGCAUUCUUGUACUGGUUUUCGCGACCCGUCGUCAAGUCGCGUGCCGAAUCGCCCAAACUCCAGCUUUAAAUCACGGCGGAAACACUAGCAGCGCAUAUUAUAGGAUCGGGGCGCACACCGCGCGAUCACUAAUCGGCUCCACACUCACCGUCUGUAUGAAUCAAGCGCCAUACGAGAUACUUGCGUAAUUAAGCAUCAAGCAAAUCGCUCACUCACAACUGUGACCCCGCGUGGAUCGUAGCGACCGCGGAAACAACUCGCACGAUCACCAAACACCCAAACAUUGUGACGUCGCGUCGUGGCACGCGGUCGUAACGUGCAAAUAAAGACUUAUUGUGUUAUA